rnacentral:rRNA from 1 species
UAGGGAAUAUUGGACAAUGGGUGAGAGCCUGAUCCAGCCAUGCCGCGUGCAGGAAGAAGGCGUUAUGCGUUGUAAACUGCUUUUUGCCAGGGGAUAAAAAGACCGUGCGCGGUUAAUUGAAGGUACCUGGUGAAUAAGCCACGGCUAACUACGUGCCAGCAGCCGCGGUAAUACGUAGGUGGCAAGCGUUGUCCGGAUUUAUUGGGUUUAAAGGGUGCGUAGGUGGCCCUGUAAGUCAGUGGUGAAAUAUCUCAGCUUAACUGAGAGGGUGCCAUUGAUACUGCAGGGCUUGAGUACAGAUGAGGUAGGCGGAAUUGACGGUGUAGCGGUGAAAUGCAUAGAUAUCGGGAGGAACACCGAUGGCGAAAGCGGCUACCUGGGCCAGAUCUGACGCUGAGGCGCGAAAGCUAGGGGAGCAAACAGGAUUAGAUACCCUAGUAGUCCCUGAGCGGGCUGGCAAGGCGCAU